CAGAGCAGAGACAAGAAGGCUGUGAGGAUGUGAGAAUGGACAUGAGGCACCUGGAACAUUCUGGAACAUUCCUUACAAAUCCUGCACCAACACCACUAAUGAAGAGAAGUUGAAUAGAGAUAAAACAGGAGGUGCCAGCUUAUGGGAUGGCGGUGUAAGCUCUGCACAUUUGUCGUAUCAUCAAAAGGAAUUUCGAUCAUUACCGAGUAAAGCAUGGUACUGUUGGUCAUGGAUAUUUAGUGUCCUGUCUUCAUUUAGACUGUCAUUGCUUCUUUAAGACCUGAGAAGGUCUGCACACACAUUUGUAUGGAUCCCACAGUUUGCAGGAAACUGAAGUGUGAAGGUGUGCAAUCUUUCAGAUGUAAAAUGUGACUCAUUAGAUUCUAAUACAAAAGUCUACUUUCCAUGUGUUAACUGUAUAAUACUUGUGGCAGGAGUAUUGUUUCUGAAACUGUUUACUAAUAACAUAAAUUCAGCUCUUUGUUUAUGAUCUUGUUACAUGUCAUUUGCAAAGUAAACCAGGUUGAGUUUAGACUUCAUGUCUUGUCCAAUUUGGCAAAUAAAUGUUUAAUUAAAAUGAAAAUGUGUGUAUUGUUUCUUUCAUUCAGUUAAAAUAUUUAGUAAAUGUAGCACAUUUGUUUAUUAAAUAAUAGUAUAAUUUUCAGUAUCUUCUUCCUUCCAUUUCAAUUAUAUCUACUCAAUUAUUUUACUCAU